rnacentral:rRNA from 1 species
UACGGAGGGGGCUAGCGUUGUUCGGAAUCACUGGGCGUAAAGCGCACGUAGGCGGGUCAGCAAGUCAGGGGUGAAAUCCCGGGGCUUAACCUCGGAACUGCCUUUGAAACUGCUGACCUUGAGGUCGAGAGAGGUGAGUGGAAUUCCUAGUGUAGAGGUGAAAUUCGUAGAUAUUAGGAAGAACACCAGUGGCGAAGGCGGCUCACUGGCUCGAUUCUGACGCUGAGGUGCGAAAGCGUGGGGAGCAAACAGG